rnacentral:rRNA from 1 species
CCCAAGAGUUACACCACCACCCUGAACACGCCCGAUCCCAUCUGAUCUCGGAAGCUAAGCAGGGUCGGGCCUGGUUAGUACUUGGAUGGGAGACCACCUAGGAAGACCAGGUGCUGUAGGUG